rnacentral:rRNA from 1 species
AUUGAACGCUGGCGGAAUGCUUUACACAUGCAAGUCGGGCGGCAGCGCGGGGGCAACCCUGGCGGCGAGCGGCGAACGGGUGAGUAAUACAUCGGAACGUGUCCUUGAGUGGGGGAUAGCUCGGCGAAAGCCGGAUUAAUACCGCAUAAGCUCUGAGGAGGAAAGCGGGGGACUGGUAACGGCCUCGCGCUGUUGGAGCGGCCGAUGUCGGAUUAGCUAGUUGGUGGGGUAAAGGCCCACCAAGGCGACGAUCCGUAGCUGGUCUGAGAGGAUGAUCAGCCACACUGGAACUGAGACACGGUCCAGACUCCUACGGGAGGCAGCAGUGGGGAAUUUUGGACAAUGGGGCAACCCUGAUCCAGCCAUUCCGCGUGAGUGAAGAAGG